rnacentral:lncRNA from 1 species
AGUGCUUUCAGCUAUUUCAUAUGGAAAUAGUAAUACAUUAACUCUCAGCCCAGAGGACUGUAAGUCUCUUGUUAUUGUGGCAUAUCUAUUAAAAGAAAAAAAAAAAAAAAAAGAGAGAGAGAGAGAGAGAGAGAGAGAGGGAAAGAAGGGAGUGAACACAGCUCCUUGGUGGUGCUCAUGAUAAAGCAUUCUCAGCUGGAUCUGACAUUCACCUUGGGAUAUGAAAUAUUGUAAAACCAGGCACAAACAAACAAAAACCCUCUUGCUCUGACAUCCUAACUCCACUUUCUCAAAUGUUUCAAAUUGAAAUGGCUUCAGUUGAAGAAAGAUGACUAUCGAGAACACCCACAUACACCACAGAUGGGGACGUUAAACUAGCAGUUUAUUUCUCAGAUCACCUCUCACAUUUAACUGUAUUCAAUAUAAUUUUAAUGAAAUUUGAACUAUUAAAAUGCAAUGAAAUUCAGUGUCUGAGGGAGAAAAUAUGCUCAUGUGUUUGUAAUUAGUACUUUUUUUUUUUUUUUUUUUUUUUUUUUUAAGUUUCUAAAACAAUGAAAAGAGGACUGGUUUUCACUUCAACAAAUUAAGAAUGUGGCCCUGUAUGGGAAAAUCCCAGAAUUAGGGGAAACAAAAAAAG